UCCUCACUCACCCUUACUGCCGAUAGCCCUUUCCCUCACUCAUUGUGCCGAUCGACCGACAAUUCUUCCCUUACUCACUUCCUAUUGACCGACAUCCCUCUCCCUUACUCUAACUCACUUGGGCUCUCUCUCCCCCUUCUCGUCUCUCUCUCUCGCUCGCUCUCUCUCACUCGCUCGCUCUCGCUCGGUCUCUCUCGCUCGCUCCUUCGCUUUCUCUCUUGGAUUUCUAUUGCUUCUCUCUCCUUAACUCUUCUCAAAGUGUUUACAUUUGGUGGGAUUAUCGGGACAUUCGUUCUUCUUCCAGUUAAUUAUCUUGGGAAGCAGCUCAGCAUUGAUGAUUUUUAUGAUCUACCAAAGAAGUCUUUGGACUCUUUCAGUAUCUCCAAUGUUGACAACGGUUCAAACUGGUGAUUUGCAUCUGGAGAAUGUAUACUAUUCAGAAAUGAAAGAUGCUGGUUUCUUUGAUGCUGAUUGGGAGUGAUGCAGUGAUAUUCUGGCCGGAUGACUCUGUAUAUUAAAGUAACUUCCAGAUGGCAAAAAUUUCUGUACUUGAAGAGAUGCUUGUUCGUUGCUUGCUGGACUCGUUCUUUUACAAUAGAUGUAGUGUGCCUCUGGCACUUGGAACGCUUUGUUGUGUACCAAUUAGGAACUGGUUAGACCGCAUUAAAAAAUAUAACUCUGUAUAAUACAGAAUAAGGGAAGCAUAAAGGUAUAUUUUAUGAUAUGAAUUUGAUACUAUUUGGAUC